rnacentral:rRNA from 1 species
GACAAACGCUGGCGGCAUGCCUAACACAUGCAAGUCGAACGGACAGAACAGGGAAGCUUUUCGGAGUGGAACUGGAAAGUUAGUGGCGGAUGGGUGAGUAACGCGUGGACAACCUACCUUGUAAAGGGGAAUAACCUCGAGAAAUCGAAGCUAAUACCCCAUAAUAACCUUGCUUCGCAUGAAGUAAGGAGGAAAGGCGGCCUUAGCGCUGUCGAUACAAGAUGGGUCCGCGUCUGAUUAGCUAGUUGGUGAGGUAAAGGCUCACCAAGGCGACGAUCAGUAGCCGGCCUGAGAGGGUGAACGGCCACAUUGGGACUGAGACACGGCCCAAACUCCUACGGGAGGCAGCAGUGGGGAAUCUUCCGCAAUGGGCGAAAGCCUGACGGAGCAAUGCCGCGUGAGUGAAGAAGGCCUUCGGGUUGUAAAACUCUGUCCUUAUCGAAGAGAGAGUGUUGUAGUAACUGACAAUACUAGGACGGUAGAUGAGGAGGAAGCCCCGGCUAACUAUGCG